rnacentral:rRNA from 1 species
GUGGGGAAUAUUGCGCAAUGGGGGAAACCCUGACGCAGCGACGCCGUGUGAGGGAAGAAGGCUUUCGGGUCGUAAACCUCUGUCAGAAAGGAAGAACCUCCCAAGUCCGAAUAGGGCUUGGGACUGACGGUACUUUCAAAGGAAGCACCGGCUAACUCCGUGCCAGCAGCCGCGGUAAUACGGAGGGUGCAAGCGUUAAUCGGAAUCACUGGGCGUAAAGCGCGCGUAGGCCGCUUUGUAAGUCGGACGUGAAAGCCCUCGGCUCAACCGGGGAAAGGCGUUCGAUACUGCGAGGCUUGAGUCCUGGAGAGGGUGGCGGAAUUCCGGGUGUAGGAGUGAAAUCCGUAGAUAUCCGGAGGAACACCGGUGGCGAAGGCGGCCACCUGGACAGGUACUGACGCUGAGGCGCGAAAGCGUGGGGAGCAAACAGGAUUAGAAACCCUGGUAGUCC